GUAUAACGGUCGGUCAGAAGCAUGAAGCUGACACAAGCUAGCGUCUACCUCCAACUUCUAAGGAGUUGACGACGACGAUUUGUGGUCAAAAAGAAAGAAUUGAGGGUCACUGCAGCUUCAACUUCAGUUGACUGGCCACAUUCACAACAGAAAGUUGUGGGAGAUGAGUGUGAUCCAGGAGUGUCUGGAGCACCACCUGCCUCACAUCACAAUAGUUCUUCAUCUAGUGGGGAAAGUGAUUCUAAUGACAUUACAAGAGGUGAUGUUGACACCAUUGAUGAAGAGGUUCUUCAGGCUAUAAAAGCACAUGCUUCACCCAGACCUCAGGGAUACCACUAAAUGAAGGACUAAAAUGAAGUCCACCUUUUGAAAUUGUGCACAAACAUGCCACACUCCACAGUACCCACAAAGAACUUUUACCCUCCCAGGACUCUGUUUCAACUUACUCUAUAACUCCCAAAAGCCUUUCUGAAGCAUUGUACUACCACUCCACUGGAACAGCUGCAUUCCCUGGUGUAAAAUGUACAGUGGCCCAAAUAUGUGUUUGAACAUGUAAGCCUCAUUUAAUAAUGUAUGAAUUUUGUUGAAUUAUAGAUAACAAAAUAUCAAAACAAGCUGCAUUUAUGUUAAAGCAAAAACACACUUGUAAAGCAAGCCAUUUCACAAAAAUAACUUAAUUGCAUCUUAAAUGAUAAAACAAUGAAUAUACUGUACAAAAUGAGGAGAAAAAUAUCUGGACACUUUCUGGUUUUUAAAUGAACUGUAAGUGUAGCAUGCAGUUAAUGUGAUGAACU